rnacentral:rRNA from 1 species
UACAGAGGUCUCAAGCGUUGUUCGGAUUCAUUGGGCGUAAAGGGUGCGUAGGCGGCGCGGUAAGUCGGGUGUGAAAUCUCGGGGCUUAACUCCGAAACUGCAUUCGAUACUGCCGUGCUUGAGGACUGGAGAGGAGACUGGAAUUUACGGUGUAGCAGUGAAAUGCGUAGAGAUAUGGAGGAACACCAGUGGCGAAGGCGGCUUCCUGGUCUGUAACUGACACUGAGGCGCGAAAGCGUGGGGGAGCAAACAGG